CCAGACUCCUACGGGAGGCAGCAGUGAGGAAUAUUGGUCAAUGGCCGCAGGGCUGAACCAGCCAAGUCGCGUGAGGGAUGACGGUCCUAUGGAUUGUAAACCUCUUUUGUCAGGGAGCAAAGGGCGCCACGUGUGGCGCUUUGCGAGUACCUGAAGAAAAGGCAUCGGCUAACUCCGUGCCAGCAGCCGCGGUAAUACGGAGGAUGCGAGCGUUAUCCGGAUUUAUUGGGUGUAAAGGGCGUGUAGGCGGGAAUGCAAGUCAGAUGUGAAAACUAUGGGCUCAACCCAUAGCCUGCAUUUGAAACUGUAUUUCUUGAGUGCUGGAGAGGCAAGCGGAAUUCCGUGUGUAGCGGUGAAAUGCGUAGAUAUACGGAGGAACACCAGUGGCGAAGGCAGCAUACCGGUGCACAACUGACGCUCAGGCACGAAAGCGUGGGUAUCGAACAGGAUUAGAUACCCCAGUA
rnacentral:rRNA from 1 species